rnacentral:rRNA from 1 species
UUGCUUGGUGAACAUAGCGAGCGUGAACCACCCGAUCCCAUCCCGAACUCGGAAGUGAAACCGCUUAGCGCCGAUGAUAGUGUGGCAGGUUGCCAUGUGAAAGUAGGUCAUCGCCAAGCUCU